GCUGAGGUAGUGUAGCGGUCAGCACGCGGGAUUUUGACAAGAGCUAUCUCUCAGAUGGUCUCACUGUAUCUUCCCGAGUCCCCGGUUCGAACCCGGGCCACAGCU